CCGAAAAAGCCUUUUUCUAAAUCUAGUACUGUUCGCAGCAGGAAGUUUCUGUGGAUAUUUGUUGAAUUCGCAUUUAGACACAGUCUAUAUUAGAGAACAGAACAGUUAUCAUGCAGCCGGUGCUUUUGAAGUCAGCUCCUUUAUGCGUCCUUUGGGAAAGACUCAAUCUCAUCUCGUUAAGUAUGAUCCAACCAUUUGUAAGUAAGUAUGUAAAACAAUUUCAGUUUAUUGUAUUGCUACAAUCUGGAAUAUUUUUUCACUACGAUAAUAAACUUAAGAAAUAGGUUAAGUGAUUGUAAAAUAGUUUUGUAUAGGAAAUAUACACCGCAUUUGCAGAAAAAUGUAACGCACUU